UCUUUUCGACAAAAGCAGAAGCUUUAGCUGCUCUUAAGAAGUACAACAACGUGCAACUUGAUGGCAAACCUAUGAAAAUUGAGGUCAUUGGGAUAAACAUUGAGGCACCAUCAUCUGCUAUUUUCUCUUUUGCUUGACCUCCGCUACCUGGAAACUUCAGUUUUCCUCCCAGAUGGUCAGAUGUGGACCUGGGAGGGGUGCUGGCGGCCGAGGAUGGUCUCGGGGCGGAGCUGGGUUCAGUGGUCGUGGCCGAGGGCGUGAUGGUGGCCGAGGGCGUGGUGCUAGCCGUGGGCGAGGGAGGGGAGGGCAUGGCAAUGUGGAGGUUUCUGCUGCAAACCUCGACGCUGACUUGGACAUGUACCACUCGGCUGCGAUGCAAACCAGCAUCGCCGUUUCCUAGGGUUUGGCUCGGCCGCCGCUUCCUUCAACAAUGCCUCCUUAUUGUACGCCGCUCGCUUAUCGCUGCCGAUUCCACCUACGAUGGGUUCGUCCUCCAUCUCGCACGACCGGCGCCUCUACAUCGACCCACGGCGACACACACAUCCUCUAGAUCGAUGUGCGGCGAAGCGAACCUCCGGAGGAGCUCUGACAGCGACGAGCACUUGCGGCCGGAACCCCUGCUCUCCUGUCUCUGCAACUCCAUCCAGAGGGAUUCAUCCUCUCCAGAUAAGGCAAAAUUCUCCAUUGUUUCUCUAUUAUUUAAUUCUUUUUAUUGCAAUAGUAGGAUCGGUAGGAUUCUAUUGGCUUUCAAAGUUGUGCGAACGGACUUUGAUUCUGAAACUGUGAAUCGCGGGGUAUGGAACUAUGGAUGAUCUAGGACGAAUGAAGUAGUAAACGGAUGGAUGUAAUUUGUAUCUUACACACUCUUUGAUUCAAAAGCUCUGAAUGCUGGGUAUAUAUAUUAAAAAAUGUAUUUUUUUGGUGCCUAUUAGGCUACUGGGAUUACCCCCUUAACCAGUGACAGUGAUGAGAUUGUAAAAGGAAUUCACUUGUUUGGUGAAAGGUCUUUGUAAAAGGUAGACUUUGAGUAUAGAGUGCCUAGAAGCCCUCCAUCUUCCUGUAGGUGAAACCUCUUUGUAAAAGGUUAAUGGUGUGUUGAUUACAAAAAUGAAAACUUCGGAUCUUGAUAGGAUUAUGUGAAUGCGAUUAUCUGUGAACUCAAAAGUGAUCUUGUUUAUGUACCAACAUUUGUGGUAUCCAUUAUUUUCUUCUUAGUAGAAAGCAUAGUAUCUAAUUUCAUCAAAAUUUAGUAAAACUGUAAAUACAUGAAAUGUGCAAGGAUUUUGGUACUCAUAAGAGCCUCUAGAAUAACAGCUUGAUAAGAGGAAUUAGAAAUACCUAAUUUCUCAUCUAUAAUAAUCAAAUCAGUUGAAUAACUUAUUUUGUUUCCCACAAUGUUUGCAACUUUAUUCUUCGGAGGAGCUCACCUUCCUGGUCUAGAAACUGUUCUUGUGCAGUUCGCGAUGGUGCUCUGUCCGGUUUGAGGUGAGACUCACGGGCUGGAGUGUUGACGGAAAUUAAAUAUGACCUAAAAUUAAAUAUUAGUGUUUGUGGGCCCCAGCUUGAGCAUAAAAGGUUUUAAAUGUUAAUGAAAUGCUAGGAGUUUUACAGCUCAAAGUUGUUGGUUUCCACAAUUCCACUUAUGUACUUAUCAGAUGAAGUCUGUCGAGUUUUUGCAGGUUUAGAUAAAUGGUUUCCCUCCUCAUGUUCUAAUUGUUCAGUUUGUAGAGAAGUGCAUCUACUGGCUACUUCUUGGAUGUUGUGGAAGACAAUUGGUUAUUAGGUGAGCACGAUGUACCUCAACACCUCCAAACCAACGAGCAAACCAGAAGCGUUGCCAGCUCCUACACGAGGACCAUGAAGUCUGCAAGCCCAUCCCAGGUAUAUUAUUUCAUUUGGUUCAGUGUUCAUUGUAGUCCGACAGAUAAAUUAAAUUGACUUGGGUAUGGUCAGUUACAAAAGGUGAACAGAUUAGCAUGCCACUUGCAGGUGUGUACAGAUUCUUUAUUGUAGAUGCCAAAGUAAUUUGGCAUGAAUAAUUCAAUGAUGUUUCAAAGUAAUUUGAUGUUCAUCGAGUAGACAUAAUUGGUUAGCAUGGUUUCUUUAUUUUUGAUAGUUUCAGAUUAGGAGUAAAUUAGUUCAAAUACAACUCAGGUUCUCCAAUCCUCUACAAAUAGUUUAGCACCAACAAAAUCGGAAAAGCCCACCCUUCAAACUAGCUACAGAUUCCAAUUAAGUUCUAACCACCCAAGUACUUGUGUAAUUUGUAUCAUGAUCACAAACAAAGCGUCAUUGACAUGGGACCUUCCCUUUAUUGUCAGGCUAUAGCUUGAAUGUUAUUAGAAGCUUUGGUGUAUUGCAUCAUUUCAAUAUAGUUCAAUAUGACCUGACACUAGCAUAUCCUUAUGAAGAGCUACAACAUAUGUGUAAUCAAGGUUUUCGAUAUUAAAAGCAGUUGCUUCUUAACAGACAACAUAAGCCAGAGAUCAUUUUGGAACAUCGCGCGCGAUUUGACCAAUCUGAACCAUACCCCUGAUCAGGUGGAACCACCGGCAUCGCCGAAAUCGUCUGCGCCCGGGAGGAGUGAAGAGGCUUGGUGGAGGACGCCUUGACGCUGGCAAAUAAUGGUGCGGCAUUCGUCUCCUUUGGGAUCCUAGAGUUAUAUAUAAAAAUGAACCUGGGAUCGAGUUCUUUGAUUUGUUGGUGCAGAUCAAGGAGUGCAUAAGCUGGCUAGCUACGCUGCAGCAGUAAGGAGACGUCGUAGCAACAACACACAGUAGUGCUCACAAACCCUUUUAUUCACGAUCUGAAUCGACAGGAAUAGUAUAAUUGAAGAAUACUUCUAUUUGAGGUUUGAUGCCCUCAUGGUGCUAUGACUAUAAGAUAUUUGAACAAAAAGAGGUGAAGUUUGAGUUUUUACCAUGCAAGUUAAUUACAGGUUUUUGUUAGCCUUAUCAGUGCUCUUCUUGGGGCCUAUUGCAUUAUGGAUUAUGAGUUCUCUUGACUGAGUAGGUACCAUUGCAUCAAUGCUGAUAAACGGUGGAUGAUCCAAUCUAUUCUUUUUCUCUUCUGUAUUUGCUUAAAUUAUAUUUCCUGUUUUAUGUGUCCUCACAUGAAUACUAUGCACCAAUUAUAAACUAGCCCCCCUUGUGGAAUUACAGGAAGGGGAGGG